rnacentral:rRNA from 1 species
AGUUAAAAAGCUCGUAGUCGGAUUUCAGUAUUAGGCCCUUCUUCCAAUACGGUUGCUAGUGGUCUUUACUUCCUUAACAGAAUCUUUCAUCUCAUUAAUUUGGGGUGUUUGGGGCCUGUUUCUUUUACUUUGAGAAAAUUAGAGUGUUCAAAGCGGGUCUUCGCCUGGAUAUUACUCUUGGAAUAAUAAUAUAGGACUUUGGUUCUUUUUUGUUGGUGACUUAGAACCGAAGUAAUGAUUGAUAGGGACAGUUGGGGUCAUUCGUACUAUGAAGCGAGAGGUGAAAUUCAUGGACCUUUGUAUGACGAACUACUGCGAAAGCAUUUGACUAGGAUGUUCCCGUUGAUCAAGAACGAAAGUUGGGGGAUCGAAGACGAUCAGAUACCGUCGUAGUCUCAACCAUAAACUAUGCCAGCUAGGGAUUGGAGGAAGAUCAUUUUACGUCUCCUUCAGCACCUUAUGAGAAAUCAAAGCAUUUGGGUUCCGGGGGGAGUAUGGUCGCAAGGCUGAAACUUAAAGGAAUUGACGGGAGGGCACCACCAGGAGUGGAGCCUGCGGCUUAAUUUGAUUCAACACGGGAAAACUUACCAGGUCCGGACAUGGGAAGGAUCGACAGAUUGAAAGCUCUUUCUUGAUUCUAU